rnacentral:lncRNA from 1 species
GGUCUCAGCCAACCUUAGAAUGGGCGGAAUUGCGAGAAGCAACUUUGUGGUGCCACAUGUUUUGAUGAUUAUCUUGUAAGAAUAAACAAAGAGGCUCGACUCGGAGAGGACAUAGGAGUCAACAUCAGCAUUUGAUAGGUUAUCAACAAUUGUGCACUCAGCAGGUCCGAGAAUUUCAUCCAAUUGUGCCUUCGAGAGAGAUCGAAGUCCUUUUCCGUUAGGAUCAGCAAACAAACCAGGCUCGGCAAAAGAAAUUUCGAGCCUCUUUUCAAAACCUUCAAAACCAAUGGCAGAAACUGGCAAGUCCAUUUCCAUUAUGAAAGAUGUUCACAGCAGCAAAGAAAGUUAAAGCAGAAAUGUUGAGAGCAAUGAGCGCAAAAGCAGGAAAGAAGUAAAGGAAGGAAGAAAAGGAGUGAGGGCUUGACAACGAAAGAAAAUGAAAGCAGAAAUUUUUUUUGUUUUUUUUUCAGCUGCGUCUAUUGACGCCUUAAACGAUGGAAGAUUAGGGAAUAUCAGGAUGGUUUGCGCGCGCACUGCAUACAAAG